GCCUGAGCUUUGACCCACACCCCAUCGACCAACUGGCACAGAACUGUUUGCUCGUAGAGGGGGGUGGGUGGCACUCUGAAGGCUAUCCAGCACGAUCCGGCCCUUUCCCUUGGCAAUUCUGUGACACUUUCCAAUCUAAGGCCGACAGAGCAAGGCAACCAGAUUUUUUUCUACAGCACCCUCCCAGCAGGCACUCUGAGUCCUCCGCAAAAGAAUGUGCAGGAUCAGAGGCCUCUUUCCAUUCUGCAAGGGUCACGCAAGACCCAUGGAAUUCAACAGGAGGCAAUCUAGGGACUAUAAAAGGUCGCGACGUCUGGCUUGAGGUUAAUGGAAGUUACAAAGGGUCAAAAGCCGACAGUGAGCGCUACCAGGUGUCGGGUCGGCGUAGUGCCGGCAGUGCAAGGCGCACGUUACUGUGGACCUGAAGGCUCAGGCCUUGGUGCCAAGGCCGCCCUGUGGGCUCAGGAUAGUUUCCCACCUACUCGACUGUAAUUAGUACUCUGGCGAGAGU
ensembl:processed_transcript 1810019D21Rik RIKEN cDNA 1810019D21 gene